CCUGGUUGAUCUUGCCAGUAGUCAUAUGCUUGUCUCAUAGAUUAAGCCAUGCAAGUGAAAGUAUAUAUUUAUUUUAUAUAUUGAAACUGCGAACGGCUCAUUAAAACAGUUAUAAUCUACUUGAUGUUUUUAAUAUAAGGAUAACUACGGAAAAUCUGUAGCUAAUACUUGUGAAAAUACCUUUUGAUAUAUACAUAUGUAUGUAUCAUUAAGGUAUGUAUUUGUUAGAUAUAAGAAUAAAAUAAAUAUAAUUGAAUUAUAACAAAGAAGAAACACAUAAAAUAUGUGUAUUAUCAAUCGAGUUUCUGACCUAUCAGCUUUUGAUGUUAGGGUAUUGUCCUAACAUGGCUAUGACGGGUAACGGGGAAUUAGAGUUCGAUUCCGGAGAGGGAGCCUGAGAAAUAGCUACCACAUCUAAGGAAGGCAGCAGGCGCGUAAAUUACCCAAUUCUAAAUAAGAGAGGUAGUGACAAGAAAUAACAAUACAAUAUCGAAAAAUGAUUUUGUAAUUGGAAUGAUAGGAAUUUACAAGGUUCCUAGAGAAACAAUUGGAGGGCAAGUCUGGUGCCAGCAGCCGCGGUAAUUCCAGCUCCAAUAGCAUAUAUUAAAAUUGUUGCAGUUAAAACGUUCGUAGUUGAAUAUUAAAGAAUCCGAUGUUUCAUUUAAACUGGUUUGGGAAAACCAAAUUUAUUAUAUAUUUUGCUUUGUUCAAAAUAAGGUUUUCUAAUAAAUUAUGUUUUUAUCAGAUAUGACAGAAUCUUUUUUAAAAUCUCUUCAAUAUGCUUUUAUUGCUUUUGAGAGGUUUUGUUACUUUGAGUAAAAUUAAGUGUUCAUAACAGACGGGUAGUCAUGAUUGAGUUCAUUGUGUUUGAAUACUACAGCAUGGAAUAACAAAUAUGAAUAAGCUAAUUAUUUUUUUUUUUCAUUAUUUUUUUUGAUAUUCUUAUUAGCUUAGUUACGAUUAAUAGGAGUAGCUUUGGGGUCAUUCGUAUUCAGAUGUCAGAGGUGAAAUUCUUAGAUUUUCUGGAGACGUACUACUGCGAAAGCAUUUGUCUAAUUUAUUUCCAUUAAUCAAGAACGAAAGUUAAGGGAGUGAAGACGAUCAGAUACCGUCGUAAUCUUAACCAUAAACUAUUCCGACUAGGUGUUGGAUGAAUAUAAUAAAUAUAUAAAUAUGUAGCAUUUCUUAGGGAAUGUUGAUUUUAUAUUAGAAUUGCUUCCUUCAGUACCUUAUGAGAAAUCAAAGUCUUUGGGUUCUGGGGCGAGUAUUCGCGCAAGCGAGAAAGUUAAAAGAAUUGACGGAAGGGCACCACCAGGCGUGGAGCUUGCGGCUUAAUUUGACUCAACACGGGAAAACUCACUAGUUUAAGACAAGAGUAGGAUUGACAGAUUAAUAGCUCUUUCUUGAUUUCUUGGAUGGUGAUGCAUGGCCGUUUUUAGUUCGUGAAUAUGAUUUGUCUGGUUAAUUCCGAUAACGAACGAGAUCUUAACCUGCUAAUUAGCGGUAAGUACACUAUAUUUUUAUUUGAAAUUGAAUAUAGGUAAUUAUACAUGUUUAUUCAGUGUUCAAAUUAGGAUAUUUUUUUAUUAAAAUAUUCUUUUCCCUGUUCUACUUUAAUAAUUUGUUUUUUUUUACUCUAUUUCUCUCUUCUUUUAAGAAUGUACUUGUUUGAUUUUAUAAAGCUUCUUAGAGGAACAUUGUGUUUCUAACACAAGGAAGUUUAAGGCAACAACAGGUCUGUGAUGUCCUUAGAUUAACUAGGCUGCACGCGUGCUACAUUGAUAUAUAUAACAAGUUGUUAAAAAUGUACUUAUAAAUAAGUGUGUACAGUUUUUCCUGUACUGAAAAGUAUAGGUAAUCUUUAUCAGUAUAUAUCGUAAUUGGGAUAGAUUAUUGCAAUUAUUAAUCUUGAACGAGGAAUGCCUAGUAAGCAUGAUUCAUUAGAUUGUGCUGACUACGUCCCUGCCCUUUGUACACACCGCCCGUCGCUCCUACCGAUUGAAAGAUAUGAUUAAUUGUUUGGAUAUGAAUUAAAAUAAUGAAAUUUUAUAUUUCUGAUUUUUUCUUGAAUAACUGUAAAUCCUAUCUUUUAAAGGAAGGAGAAGUCGUAACAAGGUUUCCGUAGGUGAACCUGCGGAAG
rnacentral:rRNA from 1 species